UACGGGGGGGGCAAGCGUUGUUCGGAAUUACUGGGCGUAAAGGGCUCGUAGGCGGCCAACUAAGUCAGACGUGAAAUCCCUCGGCUUAACCGGGGAACUGCGUCUGAUACUGGAUGGCUUGAGUGUGGGAGAGGAAUGCGGAAUUCCAGGUGUAGCGGUGAAAUGCGUAGAUAUCUGGAGGAACACCGGUGGCGAAGGCGGCAUUCUGGACCAUUACUGACGCUGAGACGCGAAAGCGUGGGGAGCAAACAGG
rnacentral:rRNA from 1 species